AUGUCAGCGUGUAAGAACUACAUUUCCACUGCCGCAUACAGGGUUGUGAACCAGCGUGCUGGUAGCCAACCGAUGAUCUCAACUUAGUUUCCUUCCUAGACUCACGGAGAGCCCAAAAAAAAUUCCAAUGAUCUGCAUGCACUUAUAAGAUAGUCGAGAAUGUAAGCGUGCUCUCUUGGAGUAUGUCUUGAUGUAUUUUGCGCCAUUGGGCGGAGGCAUCUCAGAGGUAAAGCAACAACCAUGUCGUUUAAACACAAAGGGAAUCGAUUCCCAUUGUAGAUUUGUUGCAGUUCUUCGUGGGCUGGGUCCAGGGGUAUUGUGUGUAGUUUGUACACCCCAGACCGACCAAGAUGUCCACGAAGGAUCAGGAAUAUCCGGAGGCGACCCUGGUUAAGGAAGCCGGACCCCAGUGGGCCCAUGUGGAGAUCGAACGUCUUUCCCGGGAGUUGCGGGAAACCACCCAUGAGAAGAUCCAAGCUGCAGAGUACGGCCUGGCGGUGCUCGAGGAGAAACAACAGCUCAAACAGCGAUAUGACGAGUUGGAGACCGAGUUCGAAACAGUUCGACAAGAACUGGACCACCUAAAGGAGGCCUUCGGACAGGCCCACCACACCCACAGGAAGGUGGCGGCGGAUGGGGAGAGCCGGGAAGAAUCCCUCAUGCUGGAGUCCGCCAGCAAGGAGGCCCAGUACCAGCAGAAGGUCCUGGAGCUGCAGAACGACCUCCGGCAGGCCAAGGCCUCGGUGGCCAGCACGCAGGCCGAGAACGACCGGCUGGUUUCCGUCGCGCUCGAGGCUAAAGAUAGCUCUGAGCAAGUGGAGCUGCAGCGCAUUCAGAUGCGCGAUGACAUCAGGGAGUACAAGAUGCGAGAGGUCCGGUUGCUGCAGGACUACAGCGAGCUGGAGGACGAGAACAUCUCCCUGCAGAAGCAGGUGUCGGUGCUGAGGCAGAGCCAGGUGGAGUUCGAGGGCCUGAAGCACGAGAUCCGGCGGCUGGAGGAGGACUCCCAGUGCCUGCAGAGCCAGCUGGAGGAGGCCGUGCGUCUGCGGGAGAUCGCCGAGCGCCAGCUGGCCGAGGCCCUGGAGACGGUGAAGACGGAGCGCGAGCAGAAGGCCUCGCUGCGCAAGGAGCUCUCCCACUACAUGACCAUCGGCGACUCCCUCUACCAGGGCUCCUGCAACGUGUCCGUGGACAACCUCAAGCUGGCCGACGACCCGUUCGGCGGCGAGGGGGACGGCCGCGACCUGCUCCGGGGCCUGGAGAACGGCCUGGCGUCGCUGUCUAUGUCGACGCCGAGGAAGAAGGGGGAGUUGAUGAAGCCGGCGCCCAGCCUGGUGGACGACCUGCUGAGCGAGCUCAACAUCUCGGAGAUCCAGAAGCUGAAGCAGCAGCUCAUGCAGGUGGAGCGGGAGAAGAUGUCCCUGCUCGGCUCCCUCCAGGACCUGCAGAAGCAGCUGGAGCACGCCCACGGCACCCUGUCGGACCAGCAGGAGACGGUGGGCCGGCUCACGGAGAACCUGGUGGCCAUGCGCAAGCUGCAGGCCACCAAGGAGCGCCACUCGGCCCUGGACAGCGAGAAGGAGCGCGACAGCCGCGAGGCCGGCGACGGCGACUACUACGAGCUGGACAUCAACGGGCCCGAGAUCCUGCAGUGCAAGUACACGCUGGCGGUGUCGGAGGCGGGCGAGCUGCGGCAGGAGCUGAAGACGCUCACGGCCGAGUACCAGGCGUGCCGCGGCCGCUACGAGGAGGAGCACGCCCGGCUGGCGGCGGAGGUGCGGGAGCUGAGCGGCGGCCUGGCGGCCCUGGAGAAGAGCAGCCGCGCCGACCGCGAGGAGGUGCUGCGGCUGGAGAAGGAGCUGCGUCUGGUCAGCGUGGCGGCCGGCGAGUCCCUGGGCAGCCUGAACGUGGCGCAGGACGAGCUGGUGGCCUUCAGCGAGGAGCUGGCCAACCUGUACAACCACGUGUGCAUGUGCAACAACGAGAUGCCCAACCGCGUCAUGCUGGACUACUACCGCGAGGGCCUGGCCAGCGUGCGCGGGCUCUCCGCCGCCGAGGGCAAGGAGCAGCACUGGGCCCCCGUGCUGCUCACCAGGGGGCUGAUCCCCGAGAACGACCCCGCCCACACUACCACCGCCGCGGCGGCGGCCGCGCCCGAGGCUAACGGUACCGCCGCCCUCGCCGAGAUGUGCACCGCCCCCGCGCCGCCGCCUAGCCACGCCCACCGGCCCGAGCCCAUGAACAUCUACAACCUGGUGACCAUCAUCCGCGACCAGAUCCGCCACCUGCAGCAGGCGGUGGACCGCACCACGGAGCUGUCGCGCCAGCGGCUGGCCAGCGCAGAGAUGAACGGCGUGGGGGACCAGGACAGGGACGCCUGGAUGGGGGACAUCCUGAAGCUCAAGUCGCUGCUGAGCACCAAGAGGGAGCAGAUCGCCACGCUGCGGACGGUCCUCAAGGCCAACAAGCAUACAGCUGAGGUGGCGCUGGGAAACCUGAAGAGCAAGUACGACAACGAGAAGGCCAUGGUGAAGGAGACCAUGACGAAGCUCCGCAACGAGCUCAAGGCGCUGAAGGAAGACGCUGCCACCUUCUCCUCACUGCGCGCCAUGUUUGCGACGAGGUGUGACGAGUACGUGACCCAGCUGGACGACAUGCAGCGGCAGCUGACGGCGGCCGAGGACGAGAAGAAGACCCUCAACUCCCUGCUGCGCAUGGCCAUCCAGCAGAAGCUGGCCCUCACGCAGCGGCUGGAGGACCUGGAGUUCGACCACGAGCAGGCCCGCCGCACGGCCGCCGGCAUCGGCCCCGCCGCCGCCGCCGUCAGGAGCAAGCCCAAGGGGAAGGGGGCGCCGGCGAGCCACCGUAGAACCGUGCACGGUGGCUUCGGGGCGUCGUGAGACUCCCUGCCCCCCCCCGCAGACCCCACCACUGCACACCUAACCACCUCUAAAUGACUUGAAGGUCCAACGUCACUAUGGAGGUCCGGCGUCAGCGCGCGCGCGCGUGCGCGUGUGUGUCGAACAUGCCCACGCCCAUGGUGUCUGCGGGGAAGUAACCUGGAGGUAAAGACAAAGGCAGUGGUCAAGACACAUGUCAGAGAGGGGGGGGGGGGGCAGGGGGCUACGCCGGAGUUAGCCCCUCUCACCCUGUCGCUGCGCUCGUGCUUGUCAUUGUAGCACACCUGUAAAUGUAAAUGAAACCCCCUGAAUCACCCAAUUCCAAACGUUUUACUCCCAGCGGCAUGACCGGCGGUGUCUCGGUGUAUGUUGUAAUCCCUUCCUUUCUAAAGCACACGACGACUCCAUGUUAGUGCGUCCGAAGCAGGCUCACCACACCUGCAUGUCCCGUGUUUCAUACUUUGCUGACGAAGCACUUUGUCCUGUGUGCCUUGUGCUGUCUCAGAGAUACUCAUGUUAAUUAUUUUUUGUUUUAGCAUCAAUGUGUUUUAUUGUUAACAUUUCUGCCCUGGCUAGCGACAUGGAGGGGAUAAAGAAUAUAUCUAAAUAACACCACAAUGGCUUUUCCAUAUUUAUUUUUUAAAGUUUAUUUUGUACAAAGAAAUGGUUGAUUUAUUUUGAACGGGGCUGAUGAACCAUGAAACCUGUGCUGUUUUAAAGGUAUCUUCCAGAAAGAUUCUGAGACAAAGAAUCAAGGGAUUAAUUUGGAUUUCAAUGUCCACCCCUCUCAGUUAUUUACCUUUUUAGCCUUUGAUUUAGGUGUGCCUUUUUGGACUAUUUCUUUCAAGGAAGAAGAAAAUAAAGAGUACAGAUGUGAUGUAACGCAAGGGUGCGAAUACAAUUUCAGGGUCUUAACCAGCUUCUGUUCAAUAAGACACUUAGUAUUUUGCCUUAAAGACACAUUGUUCUUCGAAGGUAUUGUUAAGUAUGUGUGAUGGGACUUAGGAAAAGAAUAAUGCAAAAUGUAUAUUUAUAUAUGCAAGCUUUAUAAUUUAAAGUCAUGUGAUUAAGUUAAUAUUCAUCAUCAAUGCUAAGUCAUAAAGAAAUGCUAAUGUUUUUGUUUUACUGCAAUGUUAAAAUCUACUACAAUGCCAAGUAAUUAUGGAGGAUAACAGCAUCUUCAUAAGCAUGCAGUGCCAUUUUUUGUCAGUUUUUUUUAUAAAGUGCAAUUUAUAUCAAGAAUUUAUUAAUAGUUUGUCCAAUUUAAACCAUUGUACGUUUUCGCUCACAUUUGCUCACCUAACUAAGUUGUAUAUGAUUUUUAUUUUAACCUUCCAAGUAUCUAUUUAUUUAAUACAAUGUCAAACUGUUACAAGUAUUGGUGCCUUUUGCUUCAAUGAAGACUUGGGUGUGAUGCUUGGUGAAAUAUUCAACAUACAAUAACUGUGGUAACACGCUGCUAUGGUAAAUGCCUUAGCUGGUGUCCCUGCUUAGUUAUAGUUUAUAACUAAUGCAAAUAAAUAAAUCUCACUGUUCAAGACCUGGCCUUUGUUUUUAUUAAUGCAUCUAAGAAUUUAGCUAUCCAUUAUGUCAAGAAGCAUGCAAU